AUUGAACUCUGGCGGCAUGCUUUACACAUGCAAGUCGAACGGUAACAGGCCGCAAGGUGCUGACGAGUGGCGAACGGGUGAGUAAUGCAUCGGAACGUGCCCAGUCGUGGGGGAUAACGCAGCGAAAGCUGCGCUAAUACCGCAUACGAUCUAUGGAUGAAAGCGGGGGACCGUAAGGCCUCGCGCGAUUGGAGCGGCCGAUGUCAGAUUAGGUAGUUGGUGGGGUAAAGGCUCACCAAGCCAACGAUCUGUAGCUGGGCUGAGAGGACGACCAGCCACACUGGGACUGAGAGACGGCCCAGACUCCUACGGGAGGCAGCAGUGGGGAAUUUUGGACAAUGGGCGCAAGCCUGAUCCAGCAAUGCCGCGUGCAGGAAGAAGGCCUUCGGGUUGUAAACUGCUUUUGUACGGAACGAAAAGGCUCUGGAUAAUACCUGGGGCUCAUGACGGUACCGUAAGAAUAAGCACCGGCUAACUACGUGCCAGCCGCCGCCGUAACAC
rnacentral:rRNA from 1 species